rnacentral:rRNA from 1 species
UGAGGAAUAUUGGUCAAUGGGCGAGAGCCUGAACCAGCCAAGUCGCGUGAAGGAAGACCGUCCUAAGGAUUGUAAACUUCUUUUAUACGGGAAUAACGGGCGAUACGAGUAUUGCAUUGAAUGUACCGUAAGAAUAAGCAUCGGCUAACUCCGUGCCAGCAGCCGCGGUAAUACGGAGGAUGCGAGCGUUAUCCGGAUUUAUUGGGUUUAAUGGGUGCGUAGGUUGUUCGGUAAGUCAGCGGUGAAACCUGAGCGCUCAACGUUCAGCCUGCCGUUGAAGCUGCCGGGCUUGAGUUCAGUGGCGGCAGGCGGAAUUAGUGGUGUAGCGGUGAAAUGCAUAGAUAUCACGAGGAACUCCGAUUGCGAAGGCAGCUUGCCAUACUGCGACUGACACUGAAGCACGAAGGCGUGGGUAUCAAACAGG